rnacentral:rRNA from 1 species
CUACGGGCUGCAGCAGUGAGGAAUAUUGCGCAAUGGGCGAAAGCCUGACGCAGCCAUGCCGCGUGUGUGAUGAAGGCCUUCGGGUUGUAAAGCACUGUCAGAGGGGAAGAGCAACCCGGUUAACAGCCGGGUCCGACGGUACCCUCAGAGGAAGCACCGGCUAACUCCGUGCCAGCAGCCGGCGGUAAAACGGGGGGUGCUAGCGUUGUUCGGAAUCACUGGGCGUAAAGCGUGCGUAGGCGGCCUGUUAAGCCAGGUGUGAAAUCCUGCGGCUUAACCGUAGAACUGCAUCUGGAACUGGCAGGCUAGAGUGCGGUAGAGGGAAGGGGAAUUCCCGGUGGAGAGGUGAAAUUCGUAGAGAUCGGGAGGAAUACCAGUGGCGAAGGCGCCUUCCUGGACCUGAACUGACGCUGAGGCACGAAAGCGUGGGGAGCAAACAGGAUUAGAUACCCUGGUAGUC